AAAUCCCGAUGGAGUUCAAGGACGAGGAGUCGCUGAAGGACGAGCUCGCCUUCAUAACCCAACACGGUUCCGAAAAGGUCUCAGCGAUUCGCAUUGAAGAAAGUUAGUUUGCCGCAACAAAAGACCAUCCAGUAUCAUGAUCAGCCGCGAUCAAAAGAGGGCGAAAAAAAUAGGAGAUGAGAAAAAUCCGCGAGCAUGGAAUUUGCAGCCGAAAUCCGUGCGGUCACGAGGCUUCCUGGGGGAGGGCGAGAGGAAGGAGAAGAAGAGGAAGUUCUGGAUAUCGCUGUCGAAGGAGGAGAUCGAGGACGACAUUUUCAUCAUGACGGGGUUCAGGCCUGCCUGGAGGCCAAGGAGGAGGCCCAAGAACGAGCAGAAGUAGCUUGAUAUUGUCUUUCCUGGUUUAUGGUUGGUGGGGCUCACACCGGAUGCUUACCGUGUGGCCAAAGCUCCGGCCAAGAGAUAGUUUGCGCUGAGGUAGAACAUUUUGCCCGUUUCCUGAGCCGGAGGUCUCUCUGUCUCUGUCUCUGUCUCUGUCUCUCUCAACCAAAUUGUCAUGCUCUGGAAGUUCUCAGUGUCUUCACCCUGAGAACUUUGAUAUUGAAGGCGUACGUCCCGGAGAUAGAAGGUGUUCCCGAGCCGGGUCCUGAUGCUUGAAGGCCUAUGGAGGCUCGUAAGCAUCGGGCGCUUUCACACAUCAACUAGAGAUUGUAGCUGUAAGGGAGACGAUUGUUGCACAAUCAGGAUAAGAUCUCUCCAAUGAGUUAUGUGGUCUCUAUAGCAUCAAAUAUGAAGGUAUCCAAACUUUCUUGUAUAAUGCAUUUACCUCUCUAAAUUGAUGAUGUGCAUGCAUUCUAUGGAAAACAUUUGUAUCUUUCCUAGUUCAAACUUCAGACCAAUCCUGCUGGUCCUCUUCAAGUAAACUGGAAUAGCAUACGAUGUAGAUACUAUAUAUUUUCUCUUGGAAGUUUAGG